CAUUUUCUCAAACAACAAAAUGAACUUCUUUUAAGGAAAAGCCAUGCUCUCUUGUCCUUCGUUAUUGAGUGCACAACAAAUUAUUUUUCCAACAAAUGAAAAACAUGGGUGUAAUGGGCUGCAUCAACCGGCUACAUCAACCCUUUUUUCAUGAAAAUGAACCUCUCCAACUAACAUAUGGAACUGCACUAGACCAAACAAAAAUAAAAACAAAAAAAAGUUAAAGAGUUCACUUGUGAAAGAAGCGAACUAGUACAUCAGAAAAAUGACCCGCGCGGAGGAGCGAACCUCUCCAACAUACACAACAAACUACAUCGUCGGAAAAAAUAUUCUUUGCACUUUUUUGAAGCUACGCUCACGAGACACAGGGAGUUCGGCGCAAGGGACUCGCCCACCCCAUGAACCUUUGCUGUCGAUGUACUUCCUAGAGGGGACUGAACCGCAGUGCAUCUUCUCACAUUCUCCCCUAGAAACAAAACAAAAAUGAGAAAAAUGCAAUCGGACCGCAUUUGCUCUUUUCUCCAUGUCUCGAAUACAUGCAAAAUAUCCAUUUGAAAAAUAUACUGGACGGAAGCUUCUAAACCGCACUGCAUUGAUAAAGACUCAUUAAAUUUUCCAAAAAACACAAGAAAAUGUUUUUGAAUAGCAACAACCCUGGAAGGGAUUCACACGGAGAACCGCACGACAUUGCCUUCCACACUGCACACUCGCAUGGCAAGGAGUGCUCCACUAUAUUGCAAGGCAUCACUCUGCCAUCCUUCUCCGACGAGGUGGACUGAAUUCCAUCAUAGCGUCUUUGGGCUCUCGUCGAUGUUCUUUUCCUCUCCUACAAAAAUUAGCAAACUGAAUCGCAAGAACAAGAAUAGGGAACUUCAGUGCGCUAGAGGUUUUCAUCCCAAACAUCAAAAGAGCAAACUGCAACAGCAGCCUCACCUUGCGUGGUUGUCUGUCUGUCAGUGGGGAGCAAAGGAAAAAGGCUCUAGGGGAGGGAGAUGCGGUGGUUCUCCGUCCAGCCCAAAUCGAACAACGAAUACUCGGGAACGGUCAAAUAAUCAUCGGAUUGCAUUGCCAGCAGCGUGUACUGCAAAUAGACAAGCAACCGAGCUGCAGACCAAGCUCCUCACCGACUUCAAGCUGCAAG
rnacentral:lncRNA from 1 species